rnacentral:rRNA from 1 species
GCUAAACGCGAAGAACCUUACCCAGGCUUGACAUCCUUGGAAAGCAUCCGAAAGGAUACUGUGCCCUUGGGAACCAAGUGACAGGUGUUGCAUGGCCGUCGUCAGCUCGUGUCGUGAGAUGUUUGGUUAAGUCCAUCAACGAGCGCAACCCUUUUAGUCUGUUGUAUUUUUCAGGCUAGACUGCCCUGGCAACAGGGAGGAAGGAGGGGAUGAUGUCAGGUCAGUAUUACCCUUACGUCUGGGGCUACAAACACGCUACAAUGGCCGGUACAAAGGGCUGCCAAGUCGCGAGACGGAGCAAAUCCCAUCAAAGCCGGUCUCAGUUCGGAUAGCAGGCUGAAACUCGCCUGCUUGAAGCUGGAAUCGCUAGUAACGGUAGGUCAGCACACUACCGUGAAUACGUUCCCGGGUCUUGUACACACCG